rnacentral:rRNA from 1 species
UACGGAGGGGGCUAGCGUUGUUCGGAAUUACUGGGCGUAAAGCGCACGUAGGCGGCUUUGUAAGUUAGAGGUGAAAGCCCAGGGCUUAACCCUGGAAUUGCCUUUAAGACUGCAUCGCUAGAAUCGUGGAGAGGUAAGUGGAAUUCCGAGUGUAGAGGUGAAAUUCGUAGAUAUUCGGAAGAACACCAGUGGCGAAGGCGACUUACUGGACACGUAUUGACGCUGAGGUGCGCAAGCGUGGGGAGCAAACAGG